rnacentral:rRNA from 1 species
GAUGAACGCUGGCGGCGUCCCUAAUACAUGCAAGUCGAGCGAACAGACGAGGAGCUUGCUCCUCUGACGUUAGCGGCGGACGGGUGAGUAACACGUGGAUAACCUACCUAUAAGACUGGGAUAACUUCGGGAAACCGGAGCUAAUACCGGAUAAUAUAUUGAACCGCAUGGUUCAAUAGUGAAAGACGGUUUUGCUGUCACUUCUAGAUGGAUCCGCGCCGCAUUAGCUAGUUGGUAAGGUAACGGCUUACCAAGGCAACGAUGCGUAGCCGACCUGAGAGGGUGAUCGGCCACAUUGGAACGGAGACACGGUCCAGACUCCUACGGGAGGCAGCAGUAGGGAAUCUUCCGCAAUGGGCGAAAGCCUGACGGAGCAACGCCGCGUGAGUGAUGAAGGUCUUCGGAUCGUAAAACUCUGUUAUUAGGGAAGAACAAAUGUGUAAGUAACUAUGCACGUCUUGACGGUACCUAAUCAGAAAGCCACGGCUAACUACGUG